rnacentral:rRNA from 1 species
AUUGAACGCUGGCGGCAGGCCUAACACAUGCAAGUCGAGCGGAUGAAGGGAGCUUGCUCCUGGAUUCGGCGGCGGACGGGUGAGUAAUGCCUAGGAAUCUGCCUGGUAGUGGGGGAUAACGUCCGGAAACGGGCGCUAAUACCGCAUACGUCCUGAGGGAGAAAGUGGGGGAUCUUCGGACCUCACGCUCUCAGAUGAGCUUAGGUCGGAUUAGCUAGUUGGUGGGGUAAAGGCCUACUUAGGCGCCGAUCCGUAAGUGGUCGGAGAGGAUGAUCAGGCACACUGGAACGGAGCCACGGUCCAGACUCCUACGGGAGGCAGCAGUGGGGAAUAUUGGACAAUGGGCGAAAGCCUGAUCCAGCCAUGCCGCGUGUGUGAAGAAGGUCUUCGGAUUGUAAAGCACUUUAAGUUGGGAGGAAGGGCAGUAAGUUAAUACCUUGCUGUUUUGACGUUACCAACAGAAUAAGCACCGGCUAACUUCGUG